rnacentral:lncRNA from 10 species
CCUAUGCCUGCGCCCCCAUCACAGGCUGGCCUAUGUAACCAGUAGAAAACUGUGGAAGUGAUGGGGCAGGACCAGUAGAAUACUAGAGAAGUGAUGGCGUGGGACAACUUCCAAGGCCGCAUCACAGAAGGCAUUGCAGCUUCUGCCGUGGUCUCCUGGACUGCACACUGGGCAAGCCAGGCACCAUACUGUGAGGAUGCUCAAGCAGCCCCGAGGAGAGGCACACGUGGAGAGGAACUGAGGCCUCCUGCCAACAGCCACGUGAGUGCACCACCCAGAAGUGGGUCCUUCAGCCUCAGACAGGCUUUCAGAGGACUGGAGCCCUUGCUGACCUCUGACUGCAGUCCUGUGAGAGACCCUAAGACACAACUUCCCACUCACACUGCUCCUGAAUUCCUGACCACAGAAACUGUGAGAGAUGUGAAGUGCUUAUUGUGGGAAGCUUUGUUAUGUACUUUCUUACAUAAUGCUAGAUUACAAGUGCAGUUGCUGCCCAUGGGUGCCACCUGCUGGUGUUCCUGCCCCUGUGUACCCCCUCCCCUUGAGUGUGUGCCGUGAUGGGAUGUCACUCUGAGACUGCACAGCAAAGCCUCUGGCUUCUACCUUUCUCACUCUCUUGCUCUCUUGUCUCCCUUGCUCUGAGGGAAACUGGCUGCCAUGUUAUAAGCUGCUCUAUGGAGAGGCCCAUGUGGCUAAGAAUUGAGGGAGGCCUCCUGCUGAUAGCCAGUGAGGACCUAAGGACCUCAGUCCCACAUCUGGUGCAGAGCUGCACUGGCCAACAACCAUGUGGCUGAGCUUGGAAGUGGAUCCUCCCCCAACUGAACCUUGAAAUGACAGACGCUCCAGCAGGCACCAUGAUGCCAGCCUUGUAAGAGACCCUGAGCCAGAACACACAGCUGAGAUGUGUCUGGAUUCCUGACCUGCAGAAACUGUGUGGCAAUAAACAUUUGUUGUUUUAAAGCUGCUAAGUUUGGGGGCCAUUUGUUACACAGCAGCAGAUAACAAAUACAGUUCUGAUUAAUGGCACCAGCCUCACCUGUCCUAUUCCUAGAUAUGCUUAGCUUAGCUUUGGUCUAGACUUGGGUCUCCAUGUACAACUAUAACCUUGGUCAUCUGAAGCUCAGAGUAGGAGGGGGUGUAUUGAGGGAAUGAGACUACGAGGAGGCACACCCCAAUAUCUGCUGCUUUCUGGAAAACUCAGCCUCCAAAACUAAGUCAGCAACCAUAGGAGAUGGCCGUUGCAAGGUGGUUAAGCAUAAGGGAAUAACACAGGUUCGGAGCCAGCUUCUACCACCUCUUUCCUUUAACAGAGUUACAGGUCCUCCCUGAGCUCCCAUUUCUCAGGGGCCCUCCUGAAGCAGAGAAGGAAGCCACAACAUGGGCAGUCUAACUAGCACCAGCCAGAGAGCAGACACGAAGACGAAAGGAGAGGUUCUUUGUAAGGAACUUAGCCCUGGAACACGGCAGGUGCUUGUUAUGAGCUUGGCCUUGUAGUUAUCAGGGCACUUGGCAUCAUAGGCAUCACCCCAGCCACUGUUGGCAUGAAGACCUUGCAAUGCCAUCCUGGUUCCUGGACCCGGGCAUAUUAACGAUGAUGCCCACAUCUGAAGGACAAGAAGGUCUCAGUCGUGCAAUCACAGAGGAUUCACCUGGAGCUUCCCUGAGGAAUGUUCUUUUGGGCCGAGUCACCCGCUUGCUCCGGUGAGGCUGAGCUUGAGCUUUGAAUCCUGCCUGGAAUACAAAGGCCCCAUCAAACACUGCCAGGCUCACCAGCUCCCCUCCACCGCAUGCGCCAAGGGUCUCCCUCGCUUGGGUGUUUAUUUCUUGCUGUAAGAAGCGAUGAUUUAAUUCUUGCCUGGGAUAUCAUUCAGCCCAAGUUCGUGCUGAAGUGAGGCAUAUUUCAGCACUCACCAAUGUCCAUAUAGAUAAAAGAGAAAAAAAAGAGAGAGAGAAAACAACCUCAACCAGCCUCUUCAAGAGCUGUGCAUUUGAAACCUGUUUCUUAAAGAUGGAUUGCCCGUUAGGCUGCUAAGAGGUUUUUCUUGACUUGUCAACAUUUUAUGCCCCCACAAACAUUCUUGGCUAUAAAUUAUUCAUUGCCCAGUUAGUGGUUAAAAAAAAAAAAGCUGCCCGGGGCUGAGAUACUUUCUUAAUUCCCCCUCUGCUUUUCAGAUCCAAGUUGUUUUUGUCCCUCCUCCUGCUGGAAAAGUAGAAAUAACUGGAAGUCUCUGGACUCAGAGGUGCGUGGCUAUGGCCGGAUGAGAAAAUAGAGUUGAGUACAGCAUGAGCUUGGCUGGGGUCAGGGAUGGGGGCAAUUACAGUUUUGGGGUCAAGCCUGGACACUG